AUGGGCGGAUGCCUACCAACAACUUGUUAAUCUCAUUGUAGUACAAAGAUUAUAUAUUCGAUUGUAGUACGUGUUCAGUCGGAAAGCCUUUUCGUUUUAUUUACAUAGAGAAUCAUUUUUGUACCUACCUGAAAUGAGUGUAUAAAAGUGUUCUCAAAUUGUGGUCUGAAAACUAAAACUUGAGAGCUCUCUGGAUAACCCGGGCAGGUUUUAUGGUCAACACAAAAGGAAAUUUUAAAGUAUGUCCAAAAAAUAUCAGCUCUUUGUGUUCAACAUAAGAUGGUAAAGGUUUGGGACUACUCAGUUGUUGGAGACUCCAUCGAUAACUUUUGGUUUCCACCACAAACACUGCUUCAACAAGACGUUCAAAUAUCUACCAGAAAAAAUUUAAGGUAAGUAUAAUAGGUGUACUUAUAAGAUGUUCGUAAUGAGAGUCUAUACAACUAUAUUUAAUAUUUGUAGACAUACUUGCAAAUACUCCAUUAGGUCCUAUUAGAGUAUAUCGACAAAGAAGACAGCUUUUCAAAGACUCAGGAAAGUUUAAUGUAAACCUUUAAGUUUCCACACAUAUAACUGCUGUGUUAGGAGCAUACUGGAUUUUCUCUUUUUUUGUUUUAAAUAAACUGCAUUUGUGCCUUAUUCCUCAUUUUUUCAGAACUUCCAGUAGGAUUAUCAAAAGGUAAAACAAGUAACAACUAGAGAUUUCUUUUUGGUAAUAACUACAAUACACUUGAAAAACAAACUGACUUGUUAAAUAUUAUAAAAAAUAUAGUUUUAUUCAAUUACGUAAAAAAAUUAAUGGGGUUUUUAAAAGUGUAGAUGAAAGAUAGUUUUAUAAUACUUAUGCAUUUAUCUAGGGCACUGUCACCUCAAUGAACACCUGAAGAUGUUAGACUUAGCAGAUUAUGUACUCUGCAGAUUUUGUUGUGCAAAAGACGCAACCUCUAUCCACAUUCUCUCGAAGUGUGAGAGACUACGGAACAUUAGAUCACUACACUUGGGACCCUAUGAAAUAGAAGACGAAGAUAUCUGGCUACUAGGGCCACCCUAUAUUCUGAACUUUUAAAGAAACGGAAAAUGAAUGGAUUAGGUGUAAGUACUGACGAUUCCCAGUAUCGCAGCAAUAAAGGGGGUCGCAGUGUAUAUAAUACUCUAUUAUAAACGUACCUACAUGUAUUUAUCUAUAUGUUUAUUUUAUAUUUUUUCAAAUGUAAUAAAAAACUGUCCUUUG